rnacentral:rRNA from 1 species
UACGUAGGAAGCGAGCGUUGUCCGGAAUCACUGGGCGUAAAAGCGCGUGUAGGCGGUACGGCAAGUCUGCUGUGAAAGCGCCCGGCUUAACCGGGCGAGGUCGGCGGAAACUGCUGAACUGGAGGACGGUAGAGGGGGGGUGGAAUUCCCGGUGUAGUGGUGAAAUGCGUAGAGAUCGGGAGGAACACCUGUGGCGAAGGCGGCCCCCCUGGGCCGGACCUGACGCUGAGACGCGAAGGCGCGGGGAGCGAACGGGAUUGAGAUACCCGUU